rnacentral:pre_miRNA from 1 species
AAUCUACUCCCUCUGAUCCUAAAUUGUUGUCGAAAUAUUACAUGUAUCUAGACACUUUUUAAGAAUAGAUACAUUCAUAUUUGGGCAAAUUUUGAGUCAAGAAUUUAGGAUCAGAGGGAGUAGCAU